UUGGAGGGCAAGUCUGGUGCCAGCAGCCGCGGUAAUUCCAGCUCCAAUAGCGUAUAUUAAAGUUGUUGCAGUUAAAAAGCUCGUAGUUGAACUUCGAGAUCAAUUUAUUGGUCGUGCUAUUGUACGUACUGGUAUUAUUGAUUCCUACCUUCUGACGAACCAUGAUGUCAUUAAUUUGGUGUCAUGGGGAAUCAGGACUGUUACUUUGAAAAAAUUAGAGUGUUUAAAGCAGGC
rnacentral:rRNA from 1 species